AUGCUCCUGAGACCGGCCCUCCCCGUCGCCGUCAGUUCCACUCUCCCACUCUUCUCCCAUCUCGCCGCCGUCCGCCGUCGGUGCUCAAUCGCCGCCACGGGCAUGGCAGGAGUCUCCGCCGCCUCUCCCGCCGCAGCACAGAUCGGCAGCUUCCUCUCCAAGAAGCCCUACGCGCCGCCGUCCUGGGCCUCGCACCUCGCCCUCGCCCCAUCCCACACUUUCUCCCUCGGCCACUUCCCAACCCCGAUUCACCAAUGGAAUCUGCCAAAUCUGCCGGAGGGCACUGAAGUGUGGAUCAAGCGGGACGAUCUGUCGGGUAUGCAGCUGAGCGGGAACAAGGUCCGGAAGCUCGAGUUUCUGCUGUCAGAUGCCGUCGCGCAGGGUGCGGACUGUGUUAUCACUGUCGGUGGUAUCCAGAGCAACCAUUGCCGAGCGACGGCAGUGGCUGCCAAGUAUCUCAAUCUUGACUGCUAUUUGAUACUGCGUACUUCCAAGCUUCUUGUCGAUCAGGACCCUGGUUUGGUUGGCAAUCUCCUUGUUGAGAGACUGUUGGGCGCGCACAUUGAUCUUGUCUCAAAAGAAGAGUAUGGGAAAAUUGGCAGUGUGGCUUUAGCGGACUUGCUUAAAAAGAGGCUUUUGGAGGAAGGACGGAAGCCAUAUGUGAUUCCUGUUGGUGGAUCCAAUUCACUUGGAACUUGGGGAUAUAUUGAAGCAGUAAGAGAGCUUGAGCAGCAAAUUCAUUUAUCUGGUGAUGUUCAGUUUGAUGACAUUGUUGUUGCCUGCGGCAGUGGCGGAACUAUUGCUGGUCUUGCUUUAGGAUCAAAAUUGAGUAGCUUAAAGGCAAAAGUCCAUGCAUUCUCUGUUUGCGAUGACCCUGAAUACUUCUACGAUUAUGUUCAAGGCCUGAUUGAUGGACUACAAUCUGGCUUGGACUCACAUGAUAUAGUCAGCAUUCAAAAUGCUAAGGGCUUAGGUUAUGCCAUGAACACAGCUGAGGAGCUUAAGUUUGUUAAAGAUAUAGCUACAGCAACAGGCAUUGUGCUUGAUCCAGUCUACAGUGGGAAGGGAGCAUAUGCAAUGCUGAAAGACAUGGCUGAUAAUCCAUCCAAGUGGAAAGGGCGAAAAGUCCUCUUUGUCCACACAGGUGGCCUUCUUGGGUUGUAUGACAAGGUUGAUCAGAUGUCAUCUUUGGCUGGGAGCUGGCGAAGAAUGGAUCUUGAAGAAUCAGUCCCACGCAAAGAUGGCACUGGGCGUAUAUGCUUCGGUCAAGUGGAAAGGGCAAUAGCCAAUGGACGAAGAAAGUGA
rnacentral:rRNA from 1 species